rnacentral:misc_RNA from 1 species
CCAAUACAAGAUAGAUCCCUAAUCAAGCUAACAAGGCUAAAAAGCUAAGGUCCAUGCCCGCAUAAGCUAAACCGUAGGCCUAGAGUUAGGUUUGCACAGUGCCGCAUGCCACCAUCUCAUCCUCGUCGUUCCGUCUAUUAUGCCGAGAAAAACUUAGCCUCAAUGGGAGGCUAGAAAACUAAGGAGAUAACUGCCAGGAAGCCAUGCAAGGCUAAAAAUAACUAGAAUGAACAGAAAACUCCAUUUACCAAAGCACCGUCCAAGCUCCCGAAAAUUGAAGUUGGGAUCUAUAACCGAAAACUUUGGAGGAGGGGAUGAAAGAGUUUCUAACCUCUCUUAUAGUCAAAAGGAUCACUGGCUUAUGACAAGCAUAGAGCCCAAGAUACACCCACCAAGCAGAACAAAAGAAAACAUAAACACAAAGUAGAUUCAUACUUGCUUAGAAAACCACAGCCAGAAGGCUAUUUACAUCCCACCUGAUCGUGCGAAGGGUGACCCCAUAGCCAGGCAGGGAAGGAGUCUCCCCUGCCCAGUAAAAACAGG